rnacentral:misc_RNA from 1 species
CUGCUACUCUGGUUCUCUAUUGCAACGCUUGCGUAAAAAAAAAAAGGGAUCUGCAACACUUUUAUAAGCCUUUGAUGGCCUCACCUAGGCUCCCCUGGCACCUUGUUGCGCCUAGUGGCACCUGAGGAGGUCGCUUGCCUUUCCUUGCUUGAAGCAAUGACCCUUGCGCCCGUUGUGCCUCGCGCCUCAGGUGCGCCUUUGAUAACAAUGCCUUCAAGUACUCUCUCCUACUUGUAAAAUUUGUUUGGUGGUUUGAUAAUCGUAAACUAAGUCAGGAGGACAAUAUACAAUAAACUAAGUCAGGAGGUCAAUAUACAACACUGCAAUUGUUCCUUGUAGUUAUCAAUUUUAGCUUGUAGUCUUUAAAUUUCAUUCCACAUAGAGUCUCGCUAAAAACACAAUUCAAAACUUUUACCUGCCUUAAAUAUUUGUUUCUGUCUAAAAUGGAUUGUCAAAAUUGGAAUCAUGAUGUUGAAAUUAGCUCAUAAGAUCAAAAUAGAAUAGAUGAAAUGGAGGAGUACGAUGGGUGUGCUAUGUGAUAUUAGGAUUGUUGACAAAGUGAAAGGUAAGUUCUAUAGGAAUGACCAUGGCAGACAGCGAGACAUAGACAAGGUACAUACAGUGAAAUCUUUGAGUGUUGGUCGAGUUGUGAUUUGGGUUGAAAGUUUUCAAGCAACUUGUAAUUCGAAUUUACGCUAGGGGAGUCGCUUGGUCACAGGAAGGGGCUUGGUGGUUGUGGUGUGGUGGUUUGGUUACUAAGCAGUGGUGGUAUAGUGAAGGACAGUGGUUGGGCUUGUUGUGAGGCUCAAUUUUGCGAUGGCAGUGGGGACAAGGGUAAAAUUAAGGGAAGAAAAUUUCUCGAUAGAAGCUAAAACUCAAAUUAGCUUCUAAUUGCUCAUAUGCAACAAAUCAAAUUGACUAUGAUACCAAAUGAUGAAAAACCACAAAGAACUCUCAAGUGGGAUGAGAAACAAUUCUCAAAUUUGUAUUAAUUCUUGAAAUCAAUUCUUAUACUUUCUAUAAUAAGUCUAAUAAAAUAUCUAAAUGACAUAAGUAUUUAUAGUAUAAUAUUAAUCCUACUACUACUAGGAUUAAGAAUUUUAAAAUAAGAAAAUAUUAAUCCAAUCUAACAAGGAAUAUAUAACCAACACUAAUUAGGAAAUUCUAAACAAUAAAAUUCCCAAAUAACUAAAAUACUA